GAUGAAGAACGUAGCGAAAUGCGAUAAGUAAUGUGAAUUGCAGGAUUCAGUGAAUCAUCGAAUCUUUGAACGCACAUUGCGCCCGCCAGUAUUCUGGCGGGCAUGCCUGUUCGAGCGUCAUUUCAACCAUCAAGCCCCCGGCUUGUGUUGGGGACCUGCGGCUGCCGCAGGCCCUGAAAACCAGUGGCGGGCUCGCUAGUCACUCCGAGCGUAGUAAUACAUCUCGCUCAGGGCGUGCUGCGGGUUCCGGCCGUUAAAAAGCCUUAUUUACCCAAGGUUGACCUCGGAUCAGGUAGGAAGACCCGCUGAACUUAAGCAUAUCAAUAAGCGGAGGA
rnacentral:misc_RNA from 1 species